UACGUAGGUGGCAAGCGUUGUUCGGAAUUACUGGGCGUAAAGCGCGUGUAGGCGGCUCUUCAAGUCAGACGUGAAAGCCCCGGGCUUAACCUGGGAAUGGCGUUUGGGACUGGGUCGCUAGAGUGUGGCGGAGGGAGGUGGAAUUCCACGUGUAGCAGUGAAAUGCGUAGAGAUGUGGAGGAACACCGAUGGCGAAGGCAGCCUCCUGGGCCAGCACUGACGCUCAUGCACGAAAGCGUGGGGAGCAAACAGG
rnacentral:rRNA from 1 species